UACGAAGGGGGCUAGCGUUGCUCGGAAUCACUGGGCGUAAAGCGCACGUAGGCGGCCUGGUCAGUCGGAUGUGAAAGCCCGGGGCUCGACCCCGGAACGGCAUCCGAGACGGCCAGGCUGGAGACCGGGAGAGGAGAGUGGAAUAGCCAGUGUAGAGGUGAAAUUCGUAGAUAUUGGCUGGAACACCGGUGGCGAAAGCGGCUCUCUGGCCCGGUUCUGACGCUGAGGCACGAAAGCGUGGGGGAGCAAACAGG
rnacentral:rRNA from 1 species